rnacentral:misc_RNA from 1 species
UAAUGACAACUGGGAAGUUCCUAGAUCCCGCUCUAUGCCGAGAGGUAAUGGACCACUGGUUCAGGCUGGUGGACGAAGUCAGCCACCAUUGGUUGGCAAGUCUCCCGCGUUGAACCCAAGACUUCUGCCUCAGGGUAGUGGUGGUUACGUGAGUGGCAGGCCUAGUGCCCUCUUGCAAGGUAGUGGUGCUCCUCCUGCUCGCCCUACGGGCUAUGGUUUUGGCAUGGACCCUGCAGCACAGGUUAGACCACCAACAACUGUUGUUUCUCCAGUUGUUGCAAAACCCCAGGCUCCUGCUGCAAGUUUGACACCUGAUGUACUAAAGAGAAAAACAGCAUCUCUUCUUGAGGAAUAUUUCAGUGUUAGGCUUCUGGAAGAAGCUUUGCAAUGUGUUGAGGAGCUCAAGUCCCCAGCCUAUCAUCCUGAGGUUGUCAAAGAAGCAAUAUCAAUUGGUCUAGACAAAAGCCCACCACGUGUUGAACCAGUUGCACAGCUUCUUGAGCACUUGUUUGUUAAGAAGGUUUUUACCGCCAGGGACUUGGUCACUGGAUUCUUGAACUUUUCUUCUCUGCUGGACGACCUUGCCAUGGAUCUACCAAAAGCACCGGUAAAUUUUGGUGACAUAAUUGCUAGACUAGUUUUGGCUGGAGCUUUUGACUUCAAGGUGGUCAAUGAGAUCUUGAAGAAGGUAACUGAUGAUCUAUACCAGAAAGACGUAUUCACAGCUACAAUGGGAUCUAUUAGCUCUAGUCCUACAGGCCAAGCAGUGUUGGAUUCUCAAUCGUCCGAUGUUGAGGCAUGCAAAGCUCUCUUUCAAUAAAAAGCUCGAUCAACUCUUUGAGAAGAUCGAUUUUUUGUAACCUCAGUAGAUGGAAUAUACUCAAAACUACUUUUCAGCAUUUCUUGUUGAUGUCCAAUGGAGUGAAGAGCAACUGAACCGCAGGAUGGUCGAGAGCAGGUUGAUUUUUAAGUGAGUUGUAUUUUUUUUUCCCCCCAAGGUAGUAGUAUGUUGAAAGAAAGAUUUUGCCUUUUGAGGAUGGUCAAUUGUGUACUUGAUAUUUGCUCUAGGCAAAGAGGCCCUCAUUUUGUAUUUCAUUAGUUAUUUGUUUAUCUCCUCUCUUUUUGACUAGAUGGAUUAAAAGUUUUGUCAAAUCUGUUGAGUUCAUACUUCAACUCCUUGAGCCUUUAUAUACCAUUUUUG